CAAGGAAUUAAGAGUUUAUGGGGGAUACCUUGGCAUUCAGAAGCGAUGAAGGACGCGGUUACCGGCGAAACGCUUCGGGGAGCUGGAAACAAGCUAUGAUCCGGAGGUCUCCGAAUGAGGAAACUUUUUAUACUACUUAUUGAAUUCAUAGAUAAGAAAGAGCGAACCUAGGGAAUUGAAACAUCUUAGUACCUAGAGGAAAAGAAAGUAACAAACGAUUCUCUUAGUAGCGGCGAGCGAAACGGGAGAAGCCUAAACUUAGUUUCAACUAAGGGUAGCGGGACAAU
rnacentral:rRNA from 1 species